UUAUUAUUAUUAUUAUUAUUAUUGUUAUUAUUUUGGAGGGGUGGGGGGUGGUUGGGAGGAGGAGAAAGGUAAAUGAAUUAGUAGUACAUGAGAUCCAAAGGGAAACAAAUUGAUCGCCCAUACAAUGUUUCAAACAAGCAAGAAAAAAAAGACCUACUUACAGCAUUUACAGCCCACAUCAGCAAUAGGAUGAUCUCUCUUCACUGUUGUCUUACAUCUGCUACUAAUUUAAAACAACUGUUCACUUCUCAAUCAACAAGCAACUGAAUUCAUUUUACUGCAAGAUAUUAGUCUCCUAUCAAAGUAAGCAUCAAAAGCUAAUAAUAACAUGAGUAAUGCAUAAUGUAGUCUGCUAAAGGUACCAUAAAGUCUGAAUCAGAGAAAAUCAAAACCUGAGUUCCAGCUAUAGCAAGAUGUUAGGAUCAUUUUCUCAGCCAUGUGCCAAUAAACAUAAAACCUUCUUUGAGCAUAUUGUAUGACGACGAUAGAAAGCACACCUGUAGACAGCCAUGCCCACAGCAUGAAUGCUAACAAGUGUGCUCUCUCUCAUCGUCAACCAAUUAUGCCAAAGCUAAGGCAACCAUGAAAAGGAGAUGACCCAAUAACUAGGAAAUCUUCAUAACUAGAAUCUUUCAAAGCAACCAGAAAAUGGAAAAACAAAGUUCCAGAAAAUUCCAGGCACAACACCAAGAAAUGGAAACAAAGUUCCAGAAAACUCCAGGCACAACACAUAUAUGAUGAAAGUAAAGCACAAGAGCACCGGUAAGCACCAGCUCAACGGCUUUUAUAGAUCCAAAAAAUGCACAAUUGAAAUGGAGGAUACAGUGUAUAAGAUUCUUCGAGUUGAAAGCAAUAAAGAAAGGUGCUUUCUUUGCAAGGAAGAGGAUGAUAAGAUAAGGUGAAACGGCCAUGGGGCAAAAGAAAGAAAAAGAUUAGCAAAAGCGAUUAGUGGUAUAAUGAUGGAGGGAAUUGAUUUCUCUUCCGCACUGACAAUUACGUUUCCACCGUGGAACUUUGAUUGGUGCAUGUUCUUCCACCUGUGUACCCAUUCUUCUGUUAUUUCACAUUGUACCCAUCCUUCUUACUCUUUGAAUAUAUGAGCCUAAAGCAAG
rnacentral:misc_RNA from 1 species